rnacentral:rRNA from 1 species
AGAGUUUGAUCCUGGCUCAGGACAGACGCUGGCGGCGUGCUUAACACAUGCAAGUCGAGCGCCCCCGACUUGUCGGGGGAGCGGCGAACGGGUGAGUAACACGUGGGUAAUCUACCCUGAAGACUGGGAUAACCUUGAGAAAUUGGGGCUAAUACCAGAUAUUAUUAAUCUUUUGCCUAAAAGAUUAAUGAAAGGGAUUCGUCCGCUUCAAGAUGAGCCCGCGGCCCAUUAGCCUGUUGGUAGGGUAAUGGCCUACCAAAGCUAUGAUGGGUAGCCGGCCUGAGAGGGUGUUCGGCCACAUUGGGACUGAGACACGGCCCAGACUCCUACGGGAGGCAGCAGUGGGGAAUCUUGCGCAAUGGGCGAAAGCCUGACGCAGCAACGCCGCGUGGAUGAUGAAGGCCUUCGGGUUGUAAAGUCCUUUCAGCAGGGAAGAAGCCCUCCGGGGUGACGGUACCUGCAGAAGAAGCCCCGGCUAACUACGUGCCAGCAGCCGCGGUAAUACGUAGGG